UACGGGGGGAGCAAGCGUUGUUCGGAUUUACUGGGCGUAAAGGGCGCGUAGGCGGUCAGCACAAGUCAGUUGUGAAAUCUCCGGGCUUAACUCGGAAAGGUCAACUGAUACUGUGCGACUAGAGUGCGGAAGGGGCAACUGGAAUUCUCGGUGUAGCGGUGAAAUGUGUAGAGAUCGGGAGGAACCCCGGUGGCGAAGGCGGUCUUCUGGACGGUGACUGACGCUGAGGCGCGAAAGCGUGGGGAGCAAACGGG
rnacentral:rRNA from 1 species